rnacentral:rRNA from 1 species
GACGAACGCUGGCGGCGUGCUUAACACAUGCCAGUCGAACGGAAAGGCCCAGCUUGCUGGGUACUCGAGUGGCGAACGGGUGAGUAACACGUGGGUGAUCUGCCCCUGACUUUGGGAUAAGCCUGGGAAACUGGGUCUAAUACCGGAUAUGACCUUACAUCGCAUGGUGUUUGGUGGAAAGCUUUUGCGGUUGGGGAUGGGCCCGCGGCCUAUCAGCUUGUUGGUGGGGUAAUGGCCUACCAAGGCGACGACGGGUAGCCGACCUGAGAGGGUGAUCGGCCACACUGGGACUGAGACACGGCCCAGACUCCUACGGGAGGCAGCAGUGGGGAAUAUUGCACAAUGGGCGCAAGCCUGAUGCAGCGACGCCGCGUGAGGGAUGACGGCCUUCGGGUUGUAAACCUCUUUCACCAGGGACGAAGCGUGAGUGACGGUACCUGGAGAAGAAGCACCGGCCAACUACGUG